UAGGGAAUCUUCGGCAAUGGACGGAAGUCUGACCGAGCAACGCCGCGUGAGUGAAGAAGGUUUUCGGAUCGUAAAGCUCUGUUGUUAGAGAAGAACGUUGGUAGGAGUGGAAAAUCUACCAAGUGACGGUAACUAACCAGAAAGGGACGGCUAACUACGUGCCAGCAGCCGCGGUUAUACGUAGGUCCCGAGCGUUGUCCGGAUUUAUUGGGCGUAAAGCGGGCGCAGGCGGUUCUUUAAGUCUGAAGUUAAAGGCAGUGGCUUAACCAUUGUACGCUUUGGCAACUGGAGGACUUGAGGGCAGAAGGGGAGAGUGGAAUUCCAUGUGUAGCGGUGAAAUGCGUAGAUAUAUGGAGGAACACCGGUGGCGAAAGCGGCUCUCUGGUCUAUAACUGACGCGGAGGCUCGAAAGCGUGGGGAGCAAACAGG
rnacentral:rRNA from 1 species